rnacentral:rRNA from 1 species
GUGCAUGGCCAUACCACCCUGAACAUGUCUGAUCUCAGAAGCUAAGCAGGUCGGGCCUGGUUAGUACUUGGAUGGGAGACUGUUAGGGAAUACCGGGUGCUGUAGGCU